CUCCUGAGUCAGGCAGAGGAGAAGAGGCAGGCAGAGCAGAUGUGGCAGCCAUCUGUGAAGGUAGAAGCUGACUUCCAUGAGGCAGAAAUAGCUCUGCUGGAGGAAAGACAGAGGGAGCAUGCCCAAGAUGCCCUGUCACGUGUCAGUGAAGAGACAGUGUUGACUCAUCGUCUUUCCAAUGGAGUGGAAAUGGCUGCGGCACCCCAAGUCCAG